CAAUCUUUGACGCAAAUUGCGCUCCUGGGUAGCCCUAGGAGCACGCUUCUUUCAGUAUCGGUUCAACCCUCUCUCAGCAGCGUGUUUGUGUAUAGCUUCGGCUUUAUGCUUGCAUGUGUUGGCUGGAUAAUGAGAGUCUGUUUGCUUGCAGGCAGUCUCUUUAAGUACAUGGAGUGAACAUCAACUAUCGAUCAGCGCCAAUCUUGAAUUGGCUAGCCAGUCUCUGACUGUUGCUCGUUAGUGACGUGAAUAUUGGCCUUCGUGGUCUUCUUUUACGUGUAUCUUUCGAGUGACAUCAAGUUAGAUUCUAGUGAACGUUUGAAUAGACGAUGCCUCACGUGAGAAAACCAUAUGAUUUGUAAAACCUAGUUUUAUGAGUCUGAAUUUUGAUCUGAAAUGAAGCGAGACAACCCCCUGAAUUUAAGCAUAUUAAUAAGGGGAGGAAAAGAAACUAACAAGGAUUCCCUUAGUAACGGCGAGUGAAGCGGGAAGAGCUCAAUUUGAAAAUCGACUUCCUAAACGGGACGUCGAGUUGUAGCCUAGAGACGUACUAUCAGCUGAAACCUGGGUAUAAGUUCUUUGGAAUGAGGCAUCAUAGAGGGUGAGAAUCCCGUAUAUGACCCAAAGCUUUCAGCGUACGAUGUAUGUUCAUCGAGUCGAGUUGUUUGGGAUUGCAGCUCUAAAUGGGUGGUAAGUUUCAUCUAAAGCUAAAUAU
rnacentral:rRNA from 1 species